rnacentral:tRNA from 1 species
UGGCAGGUAGCUCAGUGGUAGAGCGCCGAAAACAUCCUUGUUCACAUCUUGCCUGAAAAGGCCGACGAAUUAGGGUUAUCGCCUUUUAAGCCGGUUGUCGCAGGUUCAAGUCCUGCCCUGCCAC